UGGGGAAUAUUGCACAAUGGGGGAAACCCUGAUGCAGCGACGCCGCGUGAAGGAAGAAGUAUCUCGGUAUGUAAACUUCUAUCAGCAGGGAAGAUAGUGGCGGUACCUGACUAAGAAGCCCCGGCUAACUACGUGCC
rnacentral:rRNA from 1 species